rnacentral:rRNA from 1 species
CCCCUAGAUGUCCUGGGCCGCACGCGUGCUACACUGACGCCUACAGCGAGUACUUCCCAGCCCCGAGAGGUGGCUGGUAAUCAGCAAUAGGCGUCGUGAUGGGGAUAGAUCUUUGGAAUUAUGGAUCUUGAACGAGGAAUGCCUAGUAAGCGCAGGUCAUUAGCCUGCGCUGAUUAAGUCCCUGCCCUUUGUACACACCGCCCGUCGCUCCUACCGAUUUCGAGUGGUCCGGUGAAUCUUUCGGACUGCGCGCGGCCUCGUGCCGUGUCGCGGAAAGUCAGGUAAACCUUAUCACUUAGAGGAAGGAGAAGUCGUAACA